UUGUGUAAGAGAUAGGGUGGAUCAAAGUUUGACUCUGGCUGUCUGUUUUUUCUUUGAUGGUAAUGCAUGUAAAUAAUAGUGAGACUAUCUUGAAUAAUUCUAAAGGAGUUGUCUUAUGAAGAUAAAAUAUCGUGCUAACCUUUUAAAUCUCAGCAUAUAAUAUUAGGCAAUCAACGGAAGUUGUAACUAGAAAAUCAAUCAAAGUCUGGCUAAAAUUGUGCCAGCCGCCGCGGUUAUACUGUGAGACUGAAUGAACAUAUUUCGGUUAAAAAGGAUUAUUAUAUUUAGUGAUUUCUUAUAAAAAUGAGAUAUUGGGUAUAAGUGAAACAAAUAACUAAAAAAUUAGUUUUAUAAAAUCGAGUAAAUAAAAAGUCCAGAAGUCUGAGAUAUAAACCAGGAUUAGAUACCCUGCUAUACUUGGAUUAGAAGUUUUAGACCAGGGUAGUAAAUAGCUAUUCUCUCGAAACCCAAAGAGUUUGGCGGUAUCUCAGCCUAGUUAGAGGAGCUUGUUCAGUAAACGAUAUUCCCCGAAGAAUCUUACGUGCUUUAGUAGUCAGUUUAUAUACCGUCGUUAUUAGAUAAUGUUUGAAAAUAAAAAAUUAUCGUAGUACAAUAAAAUGUAGUAUAUCAGAUCAAGGUGUAACUUAUGAGUGCGAGUAGAAUGAGCUACAAUUUAAAUUUAUGAAAAAUGGAUAUUAAUUUUAAAUAAUUAGUGGAAGGUGGAUUUAAUAGUAAUUUGUGUUUAAUAAGAAUAGAUGAUAUUAGCUCUGAGAUAUGUACACAUCGCCCGUCGCUCUCACUACAAAGUGAGAUAAGUCGUAACAUAGUAGGGAUACUGGAAAGUGUCUCUAGAAUU
rnacentral:rRNA from 1 species